rnacentral:rRNA from 1 species
GCACAGAGUUAGCCGGUGCUUAUUCUGUCGGUAACGUCAAAACAGAUACGUAUUAGGUAACUGCCCUUCCUCCCAACUUAAAGUGCUUUACAAUCCGAAGACCUUCUUCACACACGCGGCAUGGCUGGAUCAGGCUUUCGCCCAUUGUCCAAUAUUCCCCA